UUUUACUUCAUAAUCCCGUGAUACAUUAAUUUGGAUCUUCCAGCAAAACAAGAUAAUGUGGAAACUUUUUAGAUAUUUUUAAAGAAGCAAGCUAAUUUAUUUUCAAAGGCUAAUUUAUAAUUUAUUUUGGAUUUUGAAGAAAAAAAAAUCCAAGCAGAGUUUGUUCCAUUGUUGAAGCAUUCUUUUUCUAUUGUAAGAAAAGCCUUCAUUUUUUAAUUUUAUGUCAGAAUUUCUUAUGAUUGUGAAACUCUUACAUUUUUUAAAUAAAUUGUCUUCGUUGUAAAACUUGAGUAAAGAAAAGCUUUAAUGAAUUUGCAAAAAAAUAUAUAUUCUUAAAGAUAGAUAUACUUUUUUUAAAUUCUUGUUUUAAUUCUACCUCAUAAUUGCUUUGUCAGGUAAAUCUCGAUUUAAACACCAAGUUUUCUUACAGUUUUUUUUUCACCAUCGGAAUAACCUGGAUAUAAAUGUUGUGAUUAGACAAGUUUAUCAUCUCAUGGAGACCACGCCUACUGACAUUCAUCCAGACAGCAUGCUUAAUGUUUUUGUUGCACUGACAAAAGGGCAGUAUCCAGUAUUUAAUCAAUAUCCAAAGUUUAUUGUGGACUAUCAAACACAGGAACGAGAAAGAAUAAGGAAUGAUGAACUGGAUUACUUAAGAGAGAGGCAGACAGUUGAAGAUAUGCAAGCUAAAGUCGACCAGCAAAGAGUUGAAGAUGAAGCUUGGUACCAGAAACAGGAGCUGCUUCGUAAAGCUGAAGAAACAAGAAGAGAAAUGCUCUUACAAGAGGAGGAGAAAAUGAUACAACAAAGACAGAGGCUAGCUGCUGUGAAAAGAGAGCUGAAAGUAAAGGAAAUGCACUUACAAGAUGCUGCAAGAAGGCGUUUUCUGAAGCUUCAGCAAGAUCAACAGGAAAUGGAACUAAGAAGACUGGAUGAUGAAAUUGGGAGAAAGAAUCUUACUGAAAAUCAAGAAGCUGUUGCAAAAGAAAUGCGAGCAGAUGCAGAUGCCUAUAGACGAAAAGUGGAUCUUGAAGAACACAUGUUUCAUAAGCUGAUAGAAGCAGGUGAAACCCAGAGCCAGAAAACUCAGAAGGUGAUUAAAGAAAAUUUGGCAAAGGCUGAACAAGCAUGCCUAAAUACUGACUGGCAGAUUCAGUCUUUACAUAAACAAAAAUGUGAUGAUCUACAACGAAACAAAUGUUACCAAGAAGUAGCCAAACUCCUUAGGGAAAACAGAAGGAAAGAAAUAGAGAUAAUAAAUGCAAUGGUGGAGGAGGAAGCCAAGAAG
rnacentral:sRNA from 1 species